GCCCUGAUCGCAUAACGGUAUUGCAAUAGCUUGGAAAGCUAUGCCUUUCGAGGCACCCAGGUUCGACUCCUGGUCAGGGCG
rnacentral:tRNA from 1 species